GGAGGCAGAGGUGAGAAGGGAGGGCAUUCCAGACAUGGAGGACAAUUCGUGCAAAGUCCUGGAAUCAGAAGAUGGCAUGAAGUACACCAAGUCGGCCAGUCUGACAGGAGUGUAGAAUAUGUGACUACGAAUAACAGACUUAGAGCUUCAGGAAGGCUAUGCUGCCACUGCUGAUGCAUCUGAACCAGACCUGUGGGGGAGAAGAGUCCAAGGUCCAGAGAGCAGCCAGUCAAGGACCCUUGUGGAGAGACAGCAACCAAGACAUUGUGAAACCUCUGGACUGGCCUGAUUCUACACAUAAGAGGGAGACAUGGAAGCAGAUUAAGUUUUCUGGGACAAAGACUUGGAUCGAGGCUAAUUGGUUGGUGGGGAAAAGAGAAGGAAUUCCCUGGAAGGGAAAGGAUGGAGACCUGGACAUUUAUCUUUCCCGUUGGUUAGCCAAGUACUCCUCUGAAUAGUGCCCUGUGUUGGUCACGCAGGAGGAAAGAAAACGAAGGAGCAAACACAAGGUAUAUUUUCUGAUUCUCACCCUAAAAAGAGCUCCAAGGCCAAAAGAAGUGUCCAUUCUCAUCCCUUUCUGAUAGAGGAGACACUGGGCCUCUAAUGCUGAGUGUUGAGAGGAU